rnacentral:misc_RNA from 1 species
UCAAACUUGGUCAUUUAGAGGAAGUAAAAGUCGUAACAAGGUUUCCGUAGGUGAACCUGCGGAAGGAUCAUUAUCGAGUUAGGGUACUCCGUGCCCGAACCUCCCAACCCUUUGUCUAUUCGACCUUUUGUUGCUUCGGCGAGCCCGUCUCCGGACCGUCGGGGGGAAUCCCUCUGGCCCGCGCUCGCCGACAGCCCUCCACACUCUUGAACCAAUCGUGUCUGCUGAGUAUAAACGAAAUAAAGCAAAACUUUCAACAACGGAUCUCUUGGUUCUGGCAUCGAUGAAGAACGCAGC